ACGAAAUACGGGGCAACUCGUAUUUAGUGGCGGAAGGGUUAGUAAUACAUGGGUAACCUGCCUUUAACUUUGGGAUAACGGUUGGAAACGAUCGCUAAUACCAAAUGUGGUGCAAGAAGUAUCUUCUUGUUAUUAAAGUGGGGGAUCGUAAGACCUCGCGGUUAAAGAGGGGCCCAUGGGAUAUCAGCUAGUUGGUGAGGUAACGGCUCACCGAGG
rnacentral:rRNA from 1 species